GUGGGUAUAGUUCAGUGGUAGAGCAUGUGCUUAGCACACACAAGGUCCUGGGCUCAAUCCCCAGUACCCUUC
rnacentral:tRNA from 1 species